rnacentral:rRNA from 1 species
GAUGAACGCUGGCGGCGUGCCUAAUACAUGCAAGUCGAGCGAACAGACGAGGAGCUUGCUCCUCUGACGUUAGCGGCGGACGGGUGAGUAACACGUGGAUAACCUACCUAUAAGACUGGGAUAAUUUCGGGAAACCGGAGCUAAUACCGGAUAAUAUAUUGAACCGCAUGGUUCAAUAGUGAAAGACGGCUUUGCUGUCACUUAUAGAUGGAUCCGCGCCGCAUUAGCUAGUUGGUAAGGUAACGGCUUACCAAGGCGACGAUGCGUAGCCGACCUGAGAGGAUGAUCAGCCACACUGGAACUGAGACACGGUCCAGACUCCUACGGGAGGCAGCAGUAGGGAAUCUUCCGCAAUGGGCGAAAGCCUGACGGAGCAACACCGCGUGAGUGAUGAAGGUCUUCGGAUCGUAAAGCUCUGUUAUUAGGGAAGAACAAAUGUGUAAGUAACUAUGCACGUCUUGACGGUACCUAAUCAGAAAGCCACGGCUAACUACGUG